rnacentral:rRNA from 1 species
CACGUAGGGCGCAAGCGUUGUCCGGAAUUAUUGGGCGUAAAGAGCUCGUAGGCGGUCUGUUGCGUCCGCUGUGAAAACCCGGGGCUUAACCCCUGGCUUGCAGUGGAUACGGACAGACUAGAGGUAGGUAGGGGAGAAUGGAAUUCCCGGUGUAGCGGUGAAAUGCGCAGAUAUCGAGAGGAACACCUGCGGCGAAGGCGGGUUGCUGGGCCGACACUGACGCUGAUGCGCGAAAGCCAGGGGAGCGAACGGG